GAUGAACGCUGGCGGCGUGCCUAAUACAUGCAAGUCGAGCGAACAGAUAAGGAGCUUGCUCCUUUGACGUUAGCGGCGGACGGGUGAGUAACACGUGUGUAACCUACCUAUAAGACUGGAAUAACUCCGGGAAACCGGGGCUAAUGCCGGAUAACAUUUAGAACCGCAUGGUUCUAAAGUGAAAGAUGGUUUUGCUAUCACUUAUAGAUGGACCCGCGCCGUAUUAGCUAGUUGGUAAGGUAACGGCUUACCAAGGCAACGAUACGUAGCCGACCUGAGAGGGUGGUCGGCCACACGAGAAGGGAGACAGGGACCAGACUCCUGCGGGAGGCAGCAGUAGGGAAUCUGCCGCAAUGGGCGAAAGCCUGACGGAACAACGCCGCGUGAGUGAUGAAGGUCUUCGGAUCGUAAAACUCUGUUAUUAGGGAAGAACAAAUGUGUAAGGAAAUGUGCACGUAUUGACGGUACCGAAUCAGAAAGCCACGGCUAACUACGUG
rnacentral:rRNA from 1 species